CACAUGACUCUCAGCAACGGAUAUCUCGGCUCUCGCAUCGAUGAAGAAUGUAGCAAAAUGCGAUACCUGGUGUGAAUUGCAGAAUCCUGCGAACCAUCGAGUUUUUGAACGCAAGUUGCGCCCGAGGCCUUCUGGCUGAGGGCACGCCUGUCUGGGCGUCAUGC
rnacentral:rRNA from 1 species